CCGGCGAUUUCCGAAUGGGGAAACCCAGUGUGUUUCGACACACUAUCAUUAACUGAAUCCAUAGGUUAAUGAGGCGAACCGGGGGAACUGAAACAUCUAAGUACCCCGAGGAAAAGAAAUCAACCGAGAUUCCCCCAGUAGCGGCGAGCGAACGGGGAGCAGCCCAGAGCCUGAAUCAGUGUGUGUGUUAGUGGAAGCGUCUGGAAAGGCGCGCGAUACAGGGUGACAGCCCCGUACACAAAAAUGCACAUACUGUGAGCUCGAUGAGUAGGGCGGGACACGUGGUAUCCUGUCUGAAUAUGGGGGGACCAUCCUCCAAGGCUAAAUACUCCUGACUGACCGAUAGUGAACCAGUACCGUGAGGGAAAGGCGAAAAGAACCCCGGCGAGGGGAGUGAAAAAGAACCUGAAACCGUGUACGUACAAGCAGUGGGAGCCUCUUAAUGGGGUGACUGCGUACCUUUUGUAUAAUGGGUCAGCGACUUAUAUUCUGUAGCAAGGUUAACCGAAUAGGGGAGCCGAAGGGAAACCGAGUCUUAACUGGGCGUUAAGUUGCAGGGUAUAGACCCGAAACCCGGUGAUCUAGCCAUGGGCAGGUUGAAGGUUGGGUAACACUAACUGGAGGACCGAACCGACUAAUGUUGAAAAAUUAGCGGAUGACUUGUGGCUGGGGGUGAAAGGCCAAUCAAACCGGGAGAUAGCUGGUUCUCCCCGAAAGCUAUUUAGGUAGCGCCUCGUGAAUUCAUCUCCGGGGGUAGAGCACUGUUUCGGCAAGGGGGUCAUCCCGACUUACCAACCCGAUGCAAACUGCGAAUACCGGAGAAUGUUAUCACGGGAGACACACGGCGGGUGCUAACGUCCGUCGUGAAGAGGGAAACAACCCAGACCGCCAGCUAAGGUCCCAAAGUCAUGGUUAAGUGGGAAACGAUGUGGGAAGGCCCAGACAGCCAGGAUGUUGGCUUAGAAGCAGCCAUCAUUUAAAGAAAGCGUAAUAGCUCACUGGUCGAGUCGGCCUGCGCGGAAGAUGUAACGGGGCUAAACCAUGCACCGAAGCUGCGGCAGCGACACUAUGUGUUGUUGGGUAGGGGAGCGUUCUGUAAGCCUGUGAAGGUGUACUGUGAGGUAUGCUGGAGGUAUCAGAAGUGCGAAUGCUGACAUAAGUAACGAUAAAGCGGGUGAAAAGCCCGCUCGCCGGAAGACCAAGGGUUCCUGUCCAACGUUAAUCGGGGCAGGGUGAGUCGACCCCUAAGGCGAGGCCGAAAGGCGUAGUCGAUGGGAAACAGGUUAAUAUUCCUGUACUUGGUGUUACUGCGAAGGGGGGACGGAGAAGGCUAUGUUGGCCGGGCGACGGUUGUC
rnacentral:rRNA from 1 species